rnacentral:rRNA from 1 species
AGCGCAGGCGGGAAGACAAGUUGGAAGUGAAAUCCAUGGGCUCAACCCAUGAACUGCUUUCAAAACUGUUUUUCUUGAGUAGUGCAGAGGUAGGCGGAAUUCCCGGUGUGGCGGUGGAAUGCGUAGAUAUCGGGAGGAACACCAGUGGCGAAGGCGGCCUACUGGGCACCAACUGACGCUGAGGCUCGAAAGUGUGGGUAGCGAACA